rnacentral:rRNA from 1 species
CAGCAGCCGCGGUAAUACGUAGGGUGCAAGCGUUAAUCGGAAUUACUGGGCGUAAAGCGUGCGCAGGCGGUUAUAUAAGACAGAUGUGAAAUCCCCGGGCUCAACCUGGGAACUGCAUUUGUGACUGUAUAGCUAGAGUACGGCAGAGGGGGAUGGAAUUCCGCGUGUAGCAGUGAAAUGCGUAGAUAUGCGGAGGAACGCCGAUGGCGAAGGCAAUCCCCUGGGCCUGUACUGACGCUCAUGCACGAAAGCGUGGGGAGCAAACAGGAUUAGAGACCCCCGUAGUCCCUGUCUCUUAUAC